UACGGGGGGGGUAAGCGUUGUUCGGAAUUACUGGGCGUAAAGGGCUCGUAGGUGGCCAACUAAGUCAGACGUGAAAUCCCUCGGCUUAACCGGGGAACUGCGUCUGAUACUGGAUGGCUUGAGAUUGGGAGAGGGAUGCGGAAUUCCAGGUGUAGCGGUGAAAUGCGUAGAUAUCUGGAGGAAUACCGGUGGCGAAGGCGGCAUCCUGGACCGACAUUGACGCUGAACGGCGAAAGCUAGGGGAGCAAACGGG
rnacentral:rRNA from 1 species